rnacentral:snRNA from 1 species
CUGUCCAGGCAUGCUUAAUUUUGUUGGAAUGAUACAGAGAAGAUUAGUGUGGCCCCUGCACAUCAAAGAUGACACGUAAAUUUCUGAAGUGUUAGGGUUAGUC